GGAUCAAUUUAUUGGUCGUGCUGUUGUACGUACUGGUAUUAUUGAUUCCUACCUUCUGACGAACCAUGAUGUCAUUAAUUUGGUGUCUUGGGGAAUCAAGACUGUUACUUUGAAAAAAUUAGAGUGUUUAAAGCAAGCUAACGCUUGAAUACAUUAGCAUGGAAUAAUGAAAUAGGACGUUCGAUCCUAUUUUGUUGGUUUCUAGGAUUGACGUA
rnacentral:rRNA from 1 species